GUAGCAUAAUCACUUGCCCAUUAAUUGUGGGCUAGAAUGAAUGGAAAAACGAAGUAAUAGCUGUCUCUAGUAGUAAAAUAAAAACUAAUCUUUCAGUGAAGAAGCUGGAAUAAAAUCACAGGACAAGAAGACCCUAUAGAGCUUUAUUUUUAAUACAUAACAAAAAUGUAAAAAAAUUCAGUUGGGGCGACUAAGGAAAAAUCAUCCUAAAACAUAAUAGACAAACUAGUCAGACAAAAGAUCCUAAACAUAGAUCAAAGAAACAAGCUACCUUAGGGAUAACAGGCUAAUCCUCCUGGAAAGUCCAAAUUUAUAGGAGGGGUUGGCACCU
rnacentral:rRNA from 1 species